UAGGGAGACCUAAUCCAUUUAGAAAUCGAAAGCAGUGAAAAUUGCCCAUAGAAACUAAAUUGGUCUAACCUAGGUCGGUCGCAGACUUGAAGUAAAGCUUUCAAACUAUGAUUUGGUUCGAUAAGGGCUAUUAGCUCAGGUGGUUAGAGCGCACCCCUGAUAAGGGUGAGGUCCCUGGUUCGAGUCCAGGAUGGCCCACCUGAAGGAAGUCAAAAAUCAAAAGUCAAAAGUCAAAAUUAAAUAUUUUUGAAGCAUGACUAGAAAUUUUGAGUUUUUUUUGGGGGUUUAGCUCAGUUGGUAGAGCGCCUGCUUUGCAAGCAGGAUGUCAGCGGUUCGAGUCCGCUAACCUCCACAUUGGAAAAAAGACAGCAACUGAAACUGUGAGAAUAGUUUUUGACUGCUGGGUGAGAUUCCAGCCAGAACCUUGAAAACUGCAUAAGAGAACGAGAAAAAGCAGGCAGACACAGACAUGAAGAUGGAUGUGAAAGCCAAGAAAAAUUGU
rnacentral:tRNA from 1 species